UAUUUGGUAUUUCCUGCCUUCCUGGGCCCCAAGCAGGAACAUUUGUUCAGGUCCUCCAGGAGGGGCACUCUUUGUUUUGACCUUUGAACUGAACAGGGACAUAAAUUCUCUGAGGGUCGGUGGGAAAGGGCUAGCAUUGGUGUAGUUGCUUCUUACCCCUGGGGGUCUUUCCUCCUUGGGUCACCCAUACUUAUAACGGGCUUUAUGUAGUGAAUGCCUCUGCCUUAGUUAGAUGGCUCAAAGAAGUAACUAGAAUGAGAGAUGUUUCAGACCAGGAAGGAGAGAAAGGCAUGAGACAGGCUGGACUGUGACAUAGGGCAGCCUGGAAGGGCUGGCAGCCUUCAAGCAAGGGUUUUUAACCAAGGAAAAAAAAGGGGGAAAUUUAUUAUAAGGAUGGAAAGUGUCUGAAGGAACCCAAGAACAAGAGAUAUUGAACCUCUAGAAGGGCCUGGAAGGAGCUAGUAUUCUCCCUUUGAGGCUUUGUCCCUGUCCCUACCUCCACUCCCCGCACCUGCUGUCUUCUCCUCUGUCCCGCGUGGUGGUGGACGACAGGGCUGCCCCAUAACAACUGUUCUCUCUUUGCUCCCAGGUGUUAAUUUCUACAGGAGAGACUCUGGCCCACUUGGGUCCCUUCUCCAUCCCUGGCCAGGGUUCUGGGUCACAUGCCUUUAAAUCCUAACGGGGACAAUAUACACAGGGAACAAAAGGGGGAAUACAGCCGAGUCAGCCCUGCAUUGCUUGAGCAGCUGGAUCCAGUUUCCAAAGCUUCCCCUGAGCUGGGGGUCCGAAGCACCCCGAGAUUCCAUUCAGCUAACUGGACUCCCUGUGGCCUGAAUGAUGGGAAGCUGGCUUAAAGCCCGCCCACCGCCAGCAGGUAGAGGCAGCUGGUCAUUGCCUCCGUGGACACAUGGGGCCCUAAGAGCUGGAAAAUGAAGAAUCCAUUUCAGCAAGACCUUCUGGCUUUCCCCUCACAUACCGGAGCCCUCAAGUGGGGAGAAGGUUUGAUGAAAUAGAUAAAUUAGCUUGGAGAAGGAUUUUUGAAUUUCCUACCACCAUUGCUCCCUGCCUAGAAAGAUUGACUCUGGGUGGGAAGGGAGUAUAAGGGGGAGGGAGACAACAGAGAGCUCUGUGGGUCCCAAGGUCAGGGGGCCCCUGUACCCUACUUCCUUGUAGCGUGCCAGGAGUCUAGCAAGAUCGCUGCAUGCUGAACCUAGGAAGAUAGGACCACAGACAGUGCUGCUGGAAGUUCUCACCCCAAGCCAGGUGGACAUGAAAGAGCCGGAGGUGGGGACGGCCAGGAACCAGGCAGCCCCUCCCUGCCUGGGCACCACGUCAGGGAGCCCCCGAUGCCAGCCCGAAGGUGGGGCAGAGCGGUAGGGAUAGCUCAGUUCUUCCGCAGCUUGGUGGAUGGGGUCCAGAAUCAGAAAUCAGGAAAGUAUAGAAAAUAAAGUUGUAUUUCUUAGACUAAAACAAAAUAAGAUAAAAAACAGAAUCUGUAGGCUUGAUUUUACGACUCACUCUUAGUGAUCAUCGCUAAAGCCAAAACAAGGCAUAGAAUCUUCCAAGACAAACUUAUUCCAGACUAGAGACCCCCGCCAGGUGGAGACAUGGUCUCAGAUUCUAGCUGCACAUCAGGUUGCUGAUUGGAGACCCGGACCAGAAGUUCUGCCAGUUUGGUGAACUUGGGUUUGUUUUUGGAUGAUAAGAGAGGUAGUCCGGUAACCUAGCGUUGAAAUCAUGGAAUUGUCUUUAAUUCUAUGAUUUAUUAAACUUUCCCCCGUCAUCUUAUUUGUUGCCAAAUCCAGCUGAUCCGAUGCAUGUCUUUUCUGCCUAGUCCCCUGUCUCCAUGGCCACCUGGCCCAGGGCCUCACUGACUCUGCCCAUAGCCAUCAAGACGGCCCCGUCCUCACUCCCCUAAAGCCACCCUCCCCACCAACCAUCUACCCUAUAAUCUAUCUCGACAGAGUCAUCCGAAUAAAGCACACGUUUAAUCAAGUUACCCCCUUACUCUAACGUUGUAAUAGCUACAGAAUAAAGUUUAGACGUCUGGCAUGCUA